rnacentral:lncRNA from 1 species
GGGGAGGGGGUGGCAUAAUUUCCAUUUAUAAAGAGGAGAUAUUCACUGGAAUAUAAGGAUAGAGAGAGCAUUACAUACGGGUGGGGAUCACGCUCACAUAAAAGAAAAAAUUUCCAUUUAUAUAUUCCAUUCACACGUAAAUACAGGGGACGAACUGAAAAAAGGAAGCUUCUUCUUCAUUCUUUUCUUCUUGGGCACACAAAAAUGGCGGACCCAUGAUAAUCGGGUUGUUUUCCAUGGAAUAAAGGGGGAAAUUCAUCUUUCUUCUGAGAUACACAGAUAACUUCACUGAAGAAAGGAAAAGGGGACUCCAUUUUUGGGUUUCUUCUUCGCAAUACACAUCACACAAAGAAACACUCAUAUCGUUACACACAGAAUACAUAAAAGGAGCAGGAUUUUCACAGGUGGGUCACGGUUCUGGCAACGUUCGGCUAGAGAUAAGCUUUUCCCGGCGAGUCCUUCGCCAAAAUCGGUUAUUAUUUCGGUCAAAUUCAGGUAUUACACGUUUGAAUUCCAUCCCAGUCCCAGUCCCAAGAUACCAUAAAAUCUUUUAGUUUCCUUAGGUUUUUCAGUCGAAAUCUCACCGGAAAAGGUCAAGUGCGCCGGAAUCCAAUCUAUUUCAUCAGUUCUUGCUCAUCCAAGAUCACUGGAGCUCCAGUGAAUCGGAAGCGGCGACCCUGCUCUGAUUCCGUCAUGACUCAUUUAGGACUCAUUUGUUUACACUUAAUAAUGAAGUUAUGAAUUUGAAUGGUUUAGACUUCACAUCAUUAAGUAUAUUUGUCUUUUAUUAAGGUUUUAACUGGUCUAAAUAGCUUUUAAUCAUUCAGAUCUAGAACCAAGUCUUAAUAGAUGAUAUUCUGGUGUUGGAUAAUAUUCACUACUCUAUUCAUAAUCAGUAAUCGCUACCACUAACCACUUCUGUCACCGUCACCAUUGUUAACUAUCACCCACCUCCACCAUCGAAAAAAAAAUACCGCUACUAACCACAAUUGUCGAUUACUACCACACCUACUACCUCUUUUAUUUUAAUUAUAUUCACUGCCACCAUUGCCGUCAAUAACACCACAAUUUGCAACCACUAUCGUCCAAUCCCUACUACCAACCAACUCAUCUAUCACAACUAGCACCAUUACUAACUACCACUAAUACAUCACAACCUCUACAAAUUCUUUGACUGCCAUCACCAUUGUCACUAGUAACGCCAUAUCUACCACCACUUCAACCAGUACCAUCGCUAUAAUUUAUCUCUAGUAACAACCAUCUCCACCAUCACAACAAAUAACAUCUCCAACUGGCACCAACAUAUCGUCAAUCAUUAUGCAUUCAUAUUUCAGCCAAUACAAUCAACACCUUAAACUACUAACAUCAAAUAACAUCACAUCACAACAACCACCACCACCAUUAAUCGCCACCAUCGUAACAGUCACUACAAUACCAACCAUCACAAUUAUCACCACCAACAUUAUUAAUCACUAACAUCAAUCAUUGUCACCGCAACCACCAUUAUAAGCCAUCUCCACUAUCACUAACAAACAUAAAUAUUUUUUCUCAAUCAAAUACUAAUAAUUUUGUUGUAUUAAAUUACAUACUUUUUUAAUACAUAAUUAAUUUUUUAUUUGAAUUAUAUUUUUUAUUUUAUUAUGUAUAUACAAAUAAUUUUUUUUACACAUUCAGAUGUUGAAAAAUAAACAAUCCUAAUCGUUCAGUUUUUAGAUCUAGAGACAACAUCUUAAUUAUUCAGAUGUGCAUUCAGAUUCAGACGUCUGAAUCUUAAAAAAAAACAAAUGAAGCCUUAAUCUUAAGUUGAAAUCUGCGGUUUAAGUUUGUAUUGAUGUUUCCAGUUGUUUUUUUAGAUCAGUUCGAGGUUGAAUUCAACUGGAACUGGGAGGUUCGAUGUUCUGAAGUCGGGUCGAGGCAUUCCGGUCAGAGCUCUAAUCAAAAUACUUCAACAGAUUGAAAUAAAAGCUGAGGUCCAAUUCUCUCAUAUCUCUUUUAAUUUCUAUGUGAUUUUGGAUGUAAUUCGAUGUCAUUGUUCUUGUGGUUGAUGAUUUUUUUGAUGUUUGGUGUUGUUUACUUUGAAUAGUCGAUCUCGUUGGUAUAAAUGUGAUAACAAUAUAAGUUUGGGAUUGUAUUAAAAAUAAAAAUUGGGUGGGAAUUUAAACUUUGAUAAAAGGCGAACAUUGGUUUAUUUUGAUUCAUCGAUUGUGGUUUGAUUUAAGAUGAAUGUGAUUUUGUACAACCCGAUAGUGUCAUGUUUAUGCCGAAAUCGAUAUACAAACAUAAGUUGGGUAGGCAAACUCAGGAAUGGUCAUUUGUUGGAUGUGUGAAUGUUUGUGAAUGGUUCUAUCUAUUUUAGUGCACAAAAUUGAGAAAAUGUAUUCAUUUGCCGGGGAAUGCCCCGAGGUCACAUUGUACUUAUUUGUCGGGGAAUGUCCCAAGUAUUUUGUACUCAGAAGACGUCCGUGAUGAAGGUCCGAGGCAUCGGGUAAAGCAUGGGGCGUAGUUUAGGAUUAGUGUAGGUUUCCUUUUCAGUACCUUUUUAUUUCGGGUUGUAAUAAUUGGAUUGGAUACAUAUUUUGAAUUUGUUUUGUUUGUUUGUUUGUUUGAUUUUUUUUGUGUGUUUUUGUGUGGUUUAUACAUUUUGUAAUGUCAAAUUAGCCGAUAUGCUCCACCAAGCGACCAUGGUCGAACUACGGGACUGAAAGGUGCCUAACACCUUCCUCUCGGUCAACAAAAUUCCUUAACUGGAAUCUCUGUUUGUAAACCAGUCUUAAAGAGUCAAAAACAGUUUUGAAAAAGGAUUUCCAAAGGUGACUUGGCACACCCGAUUAUGCCAAGUGGCGACUCUAAAAUUAAUUGUAAAAGAUCCUUUUCGGAAUAAAAUUUUCAUCUUUUUGUCCCUUAAUAAUCAAACCCUUUCAAACUUAAAAUUAAUUCUUUUCAGUUAAAAAAGGGGUGUGACAGGAAGUAAUAAGUUAGUUUUUUCGGAGCCUUCAAUUAAUCUUGUAUUACCAAAUAUAGUAUUAACAUUGGCUUCUUUCAUCACCAAAUAAGAGAAAUAUUUCUUAUCUUUUAAAAUAGUAUGUGUGGUAGCACUAUCUAUAAGACAUAUAUCACCGUAACUGAUUUUGGAUCCAACUAAUGAUUGAAGAAUUUCCAUAUUCUUAUAAGGAAUCUCGUGCUGAUAACGUGUUGAGAAUAAAUACACUAUAAUAAAUUAAAAUGAAAAGGAAGAAGAGAGAGAUGUAUAGAUAUAAGAAUAUGAUUAUAUUUUUCAUUUGGUGUGUUUUUACAAUGUAGUAUGAAAUGUCUUUUAUAGACAAUAGUAUGUGUAAUAAGUGUAGUAUGUGAAUGAUAUCCACAAAUGAAAUAACUUCUUUACAUGCUACAGUAGUAUAUGUAAAAUAUUUAAUAUGUGAAGUAUGGGUAGUAUAGUAUGUGAACAUCGACAAAAUAACUUAUUUAUGAUAAAAGCAAGUUAAAAAUGAAGUUGUUGUGCUUAGAAAAAAGUUGAAGUUUAUAAGUUAAAGAAGUUUAAUUCUUUUAAGUUACNNNN